CUACGGGGGGCUGCAGUAAGGAAUAUUGGGCAAUGGACGCAAGUCUGACCCAGCCAUGCCGCGUGCAGGAUGACAGCCCUACGGGUUGUAAACUGCUUUUAUACGGGAAAAAUUCCCUGGUCGUGCACCGGGGUUGAUGGUACCGUAAGAAUAAGCAUCGGCUAACUCCGUGCCAGCAGCCGCGGUAAUACGGAGGAUGCAAGCGUUAUCCGGAUUCAUUGGGUUUAAAGGGUGCGCAGGCGGAAUGAUAAGUCAGUGGUGAAAUCCUACGGCUCAACUGUAGAACUGCCAUUGAUACUGUUGUUCUUGAGUACAGUUGAAGUGGGCGGAAUGUGUCAUGUAGCGGUGAAAUGCUUAGAGAUGACACAGAACACCGAUUGCGAAGGCAGCUCACUAAACUGUAACUGACGCUGAGGCACGAAAGCGUGGGGGUCAAACAGGAUUAGAUACCCUCGUAGUC
rnacentral:rRNA from 1 species